UGACUCUGCCAGAGUCAGUGGAAAUCAUGCUAGUAACCACAGAAAGCACCAGCAGCUGAUCUGCGGCACAGAAUACACCAGCGUGCCGGGAUGAGAGAACAGUGUUUCUAUAGGAUACCUGCAAACGGUUUUCUCAGAACCCAAAUAUCCUCCGGAGGGGCCACAGAAGUGUGGCCCGGAGACAUAUGAGAUGGGCUGGAGUCUGAUCCUCGGGAACCUUCAUAAACAGGGAGACCAGAGCUAGAAGAGGAGGAUAAACCGCCGGCCACAGAGAACUCACAAAAAGGAAAAGCAGCAUCCCCAGUAUGGAAGAUAUAAGGAUACUUACAUCCAGAAGAAGUCUCACCACCUCCGUUUUCCCGCACAGGGCUGCUUCGUGCAGAGCUGUUCCAGAUUUGGUUUGCCGAUUGAUGUCUAUGCCAGCUUGCAGCAAAAGCCUGACCAGGAGAGACAGAAUGACAGAACUAUUUGUAAAACCACAAUGAAUUCCAGCAGUGAGGCUUUUAUGGAAGUCCACCAGGCAGCCUGGCCAACACGCAGUGUAAGAAACUCAGAUGCUCAAUACGCUGGAUAUCAAACAAUACCAAGAAGUCUAAGCCGACAAUUUACCUAUAUACUAGGUUUAUCCAGGUUGUACCAAAGACCAUGACAGAACCGGAGGAAGACAUCAGCCGUAAGGAAACUCACACAUAGCAUUAACAGCAUCAUCAUUCUUAUAGGUCCUUGUACUAGUGCUGGUAGCGGCGCCUGCGCCAGCAGCACCAGCGACAACAGCAAGGUGUUGGGUUCGGAAAAUGCACAUCACCUUAGGGUAUACAAGAACUAAUGUCUGCAGCUCCUCCUCUAGAAGCAACCAGUUCCGAAAGAUGAAACGCAGCACUUACGGCUUAUGCGUACAUUAGCGAUGAACUUUUUUUUUUGGGCCAUAAGGUUAAAACAGGGGAUAGCAAUAAGCGGCCCUCCAGCUAUUGUAGAACGACUCGUCCCAGCAUGCCAAAUAGCAAAACUGUGGCAGGGCAUGUGGGAUGGAUAACAGCCGGAGGGCCACUUAUUGCCCACCCCUGGGCUAAAAGCGUACAACUGAUAUUGAUCUUGUGCGCCAGAGGAACUAUCGGUUGUGGCUCAUUGGCAAGUGGCUAACACAGAUCUAUAUUUAUCAUAGUGAGUAUUGUCCUGUCCUUGUUAUUAGUGAUAUUUCAUAAUUAUCACUGGUUCCUAAUGAUUAUUUGUGCGAAAUUGGUUGGACCCCCACUGGUCACUGCUCCAGAGCCUUCUUCCGACACGUCCUUUUGCUUGAUCUACUGAAUAUUAAUUUUACAUGCCAAAAAUAAAAAGUGUGGUAAUAACGCAGAUUCAAAA